UGCCAUGCAACUCCGAUCCCUACCUUCAAGUGGCACCGGCAGGGAUACGAGCAACCUUAGGGAAGAUCGGGUAACCAACCCGGUGGGAACUUUGGCCGUAUGCUGACAGGGAAGG
rnacentral:ribozyme from 1 species